GUUUAAUAAUUUUGUAAGCAAAGUAAAUUCUAUUGUUUCAGUGGAUCUUUUACCAAUAUAAUCAUGAUUUUAUUCUAAUGCUAGAUUUUUUCCUCCUCUCGUUGAUACUUGGCAUUAAGUUAAAAUUCUAGUCCACAAUGAUGCGACCCAACCACUGUUUAGUUUUUGUAUUCUUGUUAUUGUGCCUUGUGAGUUGUCCAAAGAAAAAGUUGUUCUCAGUGGGCCUAAUCUAUAAUGUAUCUGAUCUUUUACUCACAAGGAAAUUUUGCGAACGGUUUCACAUUUUCUU
rnacentral:misc_RNA from 1 species